CGGUACGUACUGGCAUUGUUGGUUUCUCCCUUCUGACGAACCAUGAUGUCAUUUAUUUGGUGUUGUGGGGAAUCAGGACUGUUACUUUGAAAAAAUUAGAGUGUUUAAAGCAGGCUCACGCUUGAAUACAUUAGCAUGGAAUAAUGAAAUAGGACGUUUGAUUCUAUUUUGUUGGUUUCUAGGAUCGACGUAAUGAUUAAUAGGGAUAGUUGGGGGCAUUAGUAUUCAAUUGCCAGAGGUGAAAUUCUUGGAUUUAUUGAAGACUAACUACUGCGAAAGCAUUUGCCAAGGAUGUUUUCAUUAAUCAAGAACGAAAGUUAGGGGAUCGAAGACGAUCAGAUACCGUCGUAGUCUUAACCAUAAACUAUGCCGACUAGGGAUCGGAUGAUGUUAAUUUUUUAAUGACUCAUUCGGCGCCUUACG
rnacentral:rRNA from 1 species